rnacentral:rRNA from 1 species
UGGUGCCUACGGGAGGCAGCAGUGGGGGAUAUUGCACAAUGGGGGGAACCCUGAUGCAGCGACGCCGCGUGGGUGAAGGAGUGCUUCGGCAUGUAAAGCCCUAUCGGCAGGGAAGAAGCAAGACGGUACCUGACUAAGAAGCCCCGGCUAACUACGUGCCAGCAGCCGCGGCAAUACGUAGGGGGCGAGGGUUAUCCGGAUUCACUGGGCGUAAAGGGAGCGUAGAGGGCGAAGCAAGCCCGGGG